CCUACGGAGGCUGCAGUGGGGAAUAUUGGACAAUGGGCGAAAGCCUGAUCCAGCCAUGCCGCGUGUGUGAAGAAGGCCUUCGGGUUGUAAAGCACUUUCAGUGGGGAAGAAAGCCUUGGGGCUAAUACCCUCGAGGAAGGACAUCACCCACAGAAGAAGCACCGGCUAACUCCGUGCCAGCAGCCGCGGUAAUACGGAGGGUGCGAGCGUUAAUCGGAAUUACUGGGCGUAAAGCGCGCGUAGGCGGUCUGAUAAGCCGGUUGUGAAAGCCCCGGGCUCGACCUGGGAACGGCAUCCGGAACUGUCAGGCUAGAGUGCAGGAGAGGAAGGUAGAAUUCCCGGUGUAGCGGUGAAAUGCGUAGAGAUCGGGAGGAAUACCAGUGGCGAAGGCGGCCUUCUGGACUGACACUGACGCUGAGGUGCGAAAGCGUGGGUAGCAAACAGGAUUAGAUACCCUAGUAGUC
rnacentral:rRNA from 1 species